AACGAACGCUGGCGGCGUGUUUAAGACAUGCAAGUCGAACGGGUUGAAGUUGUAGCAAUACCGCUUCAACCAGUGGCGCACGGGUGCGUAACACGUGAGUUACAUGCCCUGCAGUGGGGAAUAGCCCGCCGAAAGGCGGAUUAAUACCCCAUGGUCCCGCAAGGGUAAAGGUGGCGCAAGCUGCCGCUGCAGGAUUGGCUAGCGGCCUAUCAACUAGUUGGCGAGGUAACGGCUCACCAAGGCGACGACGGGUACCUGGUCUGAGAGGAUGAUCAGGCACACUGGAACUGAGACACGGUCCAGACACCUACGGGUGGCAGCAGUCGAGAAUAAUUCACAAUGGGGGAAACCCUGAUGGUGCAACGCCGCGUGGAGGAUGAGGGUCUUCGGAUUGUAAACUCCUGUCAUCGGGGAGUAAGACCUGACGGUAAAUAGCCGGCAGGGUUGAUAGUACCCGAAGAGGAAGGGACGGCUAACUCCGUGCCAGCAGCCGCCGUAAUAC
rnacentral:rRNA from 1 species